GUUCUGUGAGCAUGUGUUCCUGUGACAUGUGGCACAGCUCACUUCUGUGGUUAUUACAGUGACAAUAGCAACUGGGUGAAUGUUACUGUACGCACAGCUGCUUCCACUAAUUCUAAAACUCCAAACCACAGAGAGAUGUCUCCCAGGGAUUGUGGAAUGAAGAGCAACCAUUCUAGUGGGUAUAAUUGAAAACAGAAUGUCCUUUUGCACUUUAAAAUCAAAAGCUGUGAUAACAGAUCCACCUAAAAAUGACCUGGAAAAUUGAAUGUAUAGAUUCAGAUGCACAUGGCAGGAAAGCAGGAAAAGGACUUACCUGAAGAGACUGAAAUAGAUGAGGGAGGUAGCCUUGGACCCAGGAUGCGUGGUCCUCUCUUCUUGGAAGAAAAGAAUAAUAUAGAGAAGAGGGUGUUCCUUCUUAGCAAAGGGAAGACACAUGUGUUCCACAAAUGAGCCACUUUCCUCUAAACUUCAAUCCUGAUGGCUUGGCCUGAGGAUAACCUAGGUGCAGUGUAAUGUACUGCACAUCCAGGAACAUUGACUUCAGAGAGCAGUAGUUAUUAUUACUGAUGGGAGGCAUUCUUUUUUUUCUUUUUUCUUUUCUUUUCUUUUCUUUUUUUUUUUUUUUUUUUUUUUUUAAGCAGCAAUGACAAUUCACUUCUCCCCUAAUCUAGGUGAAAAAAUAUAUAUAGAAUAUGGUUCGUUUGUUUUAAAAAAAAAAAAAAGAAGAAUGACUCCUUGGGAAAAUGCUUUCUGUUGCUGCAUCCCAGUUCUGGGAAGAGUUUCAGGGGGUUUCUAACAUCUAAGAAGCAGAUCCUUAAGAAGAAAAAAAAUCACUUUUCAACACAAUUUUAUCUCAGAAAAACUCAUAUUCACCUUCCAUUUAUUGGAAUAUUAUCUUCUUAUAAAACAAAAAUAUUUGGACAUCUGAUCCUGAUUAGAUCAACAUCAAAAACCAAUCUAGGAAGAAAAUUGUUAAAGUUUAUUUCUCCCUGCUUUGUAAGAGAUGUCAUUUCUAAUAAAACUAUGGAAUAG
rnacentral:lncRNA from 1 species